rnacentral:rRNA from 1 species
GAUGAACGCUGGCGGCGUGCCUAAUACAUGCAAGUCGAGCGAACAGACGAGGAGCUUGCUCCUCUGACGUUAGCGGCGGACGGGUGAGUAACACGUGGAUAACCUACCUAUAAGACUGGGAUAACUUCGGGAAACCGGAGCUAAUACCGGAUAAUAUAUUGAACCGCAUGGUUCAAUAGUGAAAGACGGUUUUGCUGUCACUUAUAGAUGGAUCCGCGCCGCAUUAGCUAGUUGGGAAGGUAACGGCUUACCAAGGCAACGAUGCGUAGCCGACCUGAGAGGGUGAUCGGCCACACUGGAACUGAGACACGGUCCAGACUCCUACGGGAGGCAGCAGUAGGGAAUCUUCCGCAAUGGGCGAAAGCCUGACGGAGCAACGCCGCGUGAGUGAUGAAGGUCUUCGGAUCGUAAAACUCUGUUAUUAGGGAAGAACAAAUGUGUAAGUAACUAUGCACGUCUUGACGGUACCUAAUCAGAAAGCCACGGCUAACUACGUG